rnacentral:rRNA from 1 species
UACGGGGGGGGCAAGCGUUGUUCGGAAUUACUGGGCGUAAAGGGCCAGUAGGCGGCCAACUAAGUCGGAUGUGAAAUCCCCAGGCUUAACCUGGGAACUGCAUCCGAUACUGGAUGGCUUGAAUUCGGGAGAGGGAUGCAGAAUUCCAGGUGUAGCGGUGAAAUGCGUAGAUAUCUGGAGGAAUACCGGUGGCGAAGGCGGCGAUCUGGACGAUGACUGACGCUGAGACGCGAAAGCGUGGGGAGCAAACAGG